GGACGAACGCUGGCGGCGUGCCUAACACAUGCAAGUCGAGCGGGGACAUGCGACGGAAGUGAAGUUUCGGAUGGAGCGGAAGAUGUAUGUUCUAGCGGCGGACGGGUGAGUAACGCGUGAGCAACCUGUCCCUUACAGGGGGAUAACACAGCGAAAGUUGUACUAAUACCGCAUAAGACCACGGGGAGACAUCUUCCAGGGGUCAAAGGAGCAAUCCGGUAAGGGGUGGGCUCGCGUCCGAUUAGAUAGUUGGUGAGGUAACGGCCCACCAAGUCGACGAUCGGUAGCCGACCUGAGAGGGUGAUCGGCCACAUUGGGACUGAGACACGGCCCAAACUCCUACGGGAGGCAGCAGUGGGGAAUAUUGGGCAAUGGGGGAAACCCUGACCCAGCAACGCCGCGUGAGGGAAGAAGGUUUUCGGAUCGUAAACCUCUGUCCUUGGUGAAGAGGAAGAGACGGUAGCCAAGGAGGAAGCCCCGGCUAACUACGUGCCAGCAGCAGC
rnacentral:rRNA from 1 species